UACGUAGGGUGCAAGCGUUGUCCGGAAUCAUUGGGCGUAAAGAGCGUGUAGGCGGCUCGAUUAGUCCGCUGUAAAAGUCCAGGGCUCAACCCUGGGAUGCCGGUGGAAACUGUCGGGCUAGAGUCCGGGAGAGGCGAGUGGAAUUCCUGGUGUAGCGGUGAAAUGCGUAGAGACCCGGAGGAACACCAGUGGCGAAGGCGGCGUCCUGGCCUGCGACUGACGCUGUGGCGCGAAAGCUAGGGGAGCGAACGGG
rnacentral:rRNA from 1 species